CUACUAAAAUUGACACACAUAUACUAAAAUUGGAAGAUUAGCAUGGCCCCUGCAAAAGGAUGACACGCAAAUUCAUGAAGUGUUCCAUAUUUUU
ensembl:snRNA U6 U6 spliceosomal RNA